GGAGCAUGUGGCUUAAUUUGACUCAACGCGGGAAAUCUUACCGGGUCCGGACACACUGAGGAUUGACAGGCAAUAUUAAUACAUCAGCUCUUUUUUAUUAAAGUCUGUGUAUUAUGUUAAAUAUGCUAGUCCUUUCAUGAUUAUGUGAUAGGUGGUGCAUGGCCGUUCUUAGUUCGUGGAGUGAUCUGUCUGCUUAAUUGCGUUUCACUAAGGGCCUAUAAAUUUACGUGUGUUGCGGCACUUUGACCCCUCUCUGAGCGCGCGUCUUAGUUUGCUUUGCUCGCACAAUUAGGUCCUGAAAGCAACGAACGUGACCGCAACCUCUUGUUGCCUUUAUUCCAAACAUGUUUGCCAUUUUAAAUGGUAUUCAUGAAAAAAGGCUUUUUAAACUAGAGGGACCGCUGUUACUUUCUUAAACCAGAGGAAGGUUGCGGCAAUAACAGGUCUGUGAUGCCCUUAGAUGUUCCGGGCUGCACACGUGCUACAAUGAUUAUUGCAGUGAGCAUCUCAUUUUUACACACCGCAUGCGCGAGUCCAUUUAUUCACCUCUCUGAGGCGCUUUAAAUGUGUACCUCUGCGCGCGGUAAAGCCUGCUUCGAGAGUAAGUGGGUAAUCAAUUAGAAGUAAUGAUUUCCUUUUUAGCACACAUAUAUACGGCGUCUAUGCCCGGGCUGCCUUGUUGUAGCUUUUGUGCGUAUAGAUGUUUUUUCCGUAUGUGCGAUUGUCAAUUCAUGGUGGGGACAGACCAUUGUUAAUUGUUGGUCUCGGUCUUAACUAGGAAUGCCUUGUACGGGUCUUUGGUUCAACAAACCACCCGGAAUACGUCCCUGCCCUUUGUACACACCGCCCGUCGCUCUUACCGAUGGACUUCUCUGUGAGUUUGAGGGACUGGGAACGCAGAUUUUAUCUGCACACCUAUGGAAACUUAAAC
rnacentral:rRNA from 1 species